rnacentral:rRNA from 1 species
GAUGAACGCUGGCGGCGUGCCUAACACAUGCAAGUCGAGCGGAAAUAUUUGAAGUAGUAAUACGGAAAAUAUUUUAGCGGCGGACGGGUGAGUAACACGUGAGCAAUCUGCCUCUGACUGGGGAAUAACAUUGUGAAAACAAUGCUAAUACCGCAUGACAUCCGACCGGGGCAUCCCGGACGGAUCAAAGGAGAAAUCCGGUCAGAGAUGAGCUCGCGUCCGAUUAGUUAGUUGGUGGGGUAAUGGCCUACCAAGACCGCGAUCGGUAGCCGGACUGAGAGGUUGAACGGCCACAUUGGGACUGAGACACGGCCCAGACUCCUACGGGAGGCAG